rnacentral:rRNA from 1 species
GAUGAACGCUGGCGGCGUGCUUAACACAUGCAAGUCGAACGGAAAGGCCCAAGCUUGCUUGGGUACUCGAGUGGCGAACGGGUGAGUAACACGUGGGUGAUCUGCCCUGCACUUCGGGAUAAGCCUGGGAAACUGGGUCUAAUACCGGAUAGGACCACAUUUUGGAUGGUGUGGUGGAAAGUUUUUCGGUGUGGGAUGAGCUCGCGGCCUAUCAGCUUGUUGGUGGGGUAAUGGCCUACCAAGGCGUCGACGGGUAGCCGGCCUGAGAGGGUGUACGGCCACAUUGGGACUGAGAUACGGCCUAGACUCCUACGGGAGGCAGCAGUGGGGAAUAUUGCACAAUGGGCGCAAGCCUGAUGCAGCGACGCCGCGUGGGGGAUGACGGCCUUCGGGUUGUAAACUCCUUUCGCUAGGGACGAAGCGCAAGUGACGGUACCUGGAGAAGAAGCACCGGCUAACUACGUG